rnacentral:tRNA from 1 species
GUCUUGAUGGCGCAGUUGGCUAGCGCGUUGGUCUCAUAUCAUUAGAUAUGAUCUAGUUAAACACUAGGAUAUCCAGAGGUCCUGAGUUCGAGCCUCACUCAGGACA